rnacentral:rRNA from 1 species
UGAGGGAAUAUUGGGUCAAUGGGGCGGAAGCCUGAACCAGCCAAGUAGCGUGAGGGAUGACUGCCCUAUGGGUUGUAAACUUCUUUUGUCAGGGACGAGAAGAAGACGGUACCUGACGAAUAAGCCACGGCUAACUACGUGCCAGCAGCCGCGGUAAUACGUAGGGGCAAGCGUUGUCCGGAUUUACUGGGUGUAAAGGGCGUGUAGCCGGGUCGGCAAGUCAGAUGUGAAAUCCACGGGCUUAACUCGUGAACUGCAUUUGAAACUGUUGAUCUUGAGUAUCGGAGAGGCAAUCGGAAUUCCUAGUGUAGCGGUGAAAUGCGUAGAUAUUAGGAGGAACACCAGUGGCGAAGGCGGAUUGCUGGACGACAACUGACGGUGAGGCGCGAAAGCGU